AUGGCGGCUAUGGGUGGGGAUGAAAGGCAGAGGAUGGAGGCUCCGGCAGGGGACAAGUUCCCGGAGGGGCUGCACGUGCUCGCUGUGGACGACGACAGCGUCUGCCUCAAGGUACUGGAGGUCGUUCUGCGUUGCUGCAAAUACAACCCAACGACCGUGACGGACGCGAAGACAGCGUUGAAGAUGCUAAGGGCGGGGAAGGCAGAGUUCGACCUGGUGAUCACCGACGUGCACAUGCCAGGCGUGGACGGCUUCAAGCUCCUUGAGCUCAUCCACCUUGAGAUGGAUCUGCCCGUCAUCAUGCUAUCUGUGGAUUGCGACAAGAAGGCUGUGAUGAAGGGCAUAACACAUGGGGCGUGCGACUAUUUGGUGAAGCCAGCGUGCACCAAUGAGCUAAAAAAUAUAUGGCAACAUGUUGAAAGGAGGAGAAAUUUUGAAGCAAAAACACACAUCAACAACAACAACAACAACAAUGAUGAUGAUGAUGAUAGAGUGCAGCCAAGGACUGCUGCCACGAGCAAGGACUCAGAUAAUAAGGGCAAUGAAAGAUAUGAUUCUAACGAGAACCAAGAGAUCACACACGUAUCCACCACCUGGAAGAAGCCAAGGGUGGUAUGGACAAUUGAGCUUCAGAACAAAUUUCUAGAAGCUAUUGACCAGAUCGGCCUAGACAAGGCCGUUCCAAAAAAGAUAUUGGAACUAAUGAAAGUGGAUUACCUCACCAGAGACAGUAUCGCAAGUCAUCUACAUGUUUAUUUUUGA
rnacentral:rRNA from 1 species